CUUGGAGUCCGCUAAGAACAAUUUUCUGGUUCAGAUGUUGGACAGACUCCUUUGAUCGCUGAUCUCAGCUGCCUUGGAGCCGUCCCAGACAGAUUAGCAGCGACCAACCGCGUGGUUCAAGGGCAUUUCGGAUGGUUCCUUCACUCAGGGAAUCCCGGAGCUAACGAAGCAGCCCAGCAGCUCUCGCAAGAGCAGCUGACGCAGCGCGUGGGCAUUGCCUGGGCAACAGUGCUGCAUUCACACCCCCAUGCCUUGAAAAAGCCUCGAGGAGGGCAACAGCGUGCCGCUGCCCACCAGACAGAAAAAGGAGGGGUCGGGUCUGUAAAUCACGUGGCUUCCUGUACAUUUCUGGUGCUGUGUGAUGACACUCAAGAUGAUAUACUCAGAGACAUCAAGGUCAGAUUGACAGGUCUAUAAUUCUCUGAAUCCUACUCUCUCCCCUUCUUGUACGUAGAAAGUACUCAUUUUGAAGGAAAGCAGAUUUUCCCAUUUGGCAUAAAAAGUAGAGAAAAUGAAGACUUCGACUUCCUAUGUUAAAACCAUUACACUGUAUAUUUUUUGAAGAUAAGGUGGUCAUAGUCCGUUUGGCAGAAGUAACUGUCCGGUAGUACUUUUCCUGGUACUGUAAAAAAAUAUGGAAUAGUAUAAAAGUAAGUAUCUGCAUACAAGACAUUUAUUGAAGUAUUGAAUAUAUUACUUGGAUCAACGUAAAGACUGUUUAAAGUUACUUUAAACAGUACUGAUGAAUACCAAUCUACAGUAGCAUCUGAU
ensembl:lncRNA